rnacentral:antisense_RNA from 1 species
CUUCAACGACCCCAGCCACAGCGGUUCGGCGCGGUCCUGGCCGUAGGUGGCGAGAAUCGCCUGGGCCUC